UUGGAGGGCAAGUCUGGUGCCCGCAGCCGCGGUAAUUCCAGCUCCAAUAGCGUAUAUUAAAGUUGUUGCAGUUAAAAAGCUCGUGGUUGAAUUUCGGGAUCAAUUUAUUGGUCGUGCCAACGGUACGCACUGGUACAAUUGGUUUCUCCCUUCUGACGAAGCAUGAUGUCAUUAAUUUGAUGUCGUGGGGAAUCAGGACUGUUACUUUGAAAAAAUUAGAGUGUUUAAAGCAGGCUUUGGCUUGAAUACAUUAGCAUGGAAUAAUGAAAUAGGACGUUUGAUCUUAUUUCGUUGGUUUCUAAGAUCGACGUAAUGAUUAAUAGGGAUAGUUGGGGGCAUUAGUAUUCAAUUGUCAGAGGUGAAAUUCUUGGAUUUAUUGAAGACUAACUACUGCGAAAGCAUUUGCCAAGGAUGUUUUCAUUAAUCAAGAACGAAAGUUAGGGGAUCGAAGACGAUCAGAUACCGUCGUAGUCUUAACCAUAAACUAUGCCGACUAGGGAUCGGAUGAUGUUAAUUUUUUAAUGACUCAUUCGGCGCCUUACGGGAAAC
rnacentral:rRNA from 1 species